rnacentral:rRNA from 1 species
UACAGAGGGUGCGAACGUUGCUCGGAAUUAUUGGGAGUAAAGUGUGUGUAGGCGGGGUAGGAAGUUAGAUGUGAAAUCCCUGGGCUCAACCCAGGAACUGCAUCUGAAACUGCGAUCCUUGAGUACUGGAGAGGGUGGCGGAAUUCCUGGUGUAGAGGUGAAAUUCGUAGAUAUCAGGAGGAACACCGGUGGCGAAGGCGGCCACCUGGACAGUAACUGACGCUGAGGCGCGAAAGCGUGGGGAGCAAACAGG